rnacentral:rRNA from 1 species
GUGUCAGCCGCCGCGGUAAUACGAAGGGGGCUAGCGUUGUUCGGAAUUACUGGGCGUAAAGGGCGCGUAGGCGGUUGCUCAAGUCAGGCGUGAAAGCCCCGGGCUCAACCUGGGAAUAGCGCUUGAGACUGGGCGGCUUGAGUUCGGGAGAGGUGAGUGGAAUUCCCAGUGUAGAGGUGAAAUUCGUAGAUAUUGGGAAGAACACCAGUGGCGAAGGCGGCUCACUGGACCGACACUGACGCUGAGGCGCGAAAGCGUGGGGAGCAAACAGGAUUAGAAACCCCUGUAGUCC